CUUCUGUGAGGCAGGACAGGCUCUACAUGCACUUUGGCUUCUCGGCGGAUCUGAGCGAAUGAGAACUGCCCUGGGCUUCGCUCCCGUUUAACUUUCCACGGAGAAGAAUGUUCUCCACUCUGACUUUAAGCCAAGUGCUUGUCUAAGUGCUUCUCUGACAGGGAGACAACACUCCUUCCCCGGAGCCUUCCACUGGGGCUGGACAUCUCCCGUCUCUGGGCUCUGAGUUAACUUUGUGAUGCCAGCUCUUUGUGGGCUGUGCGCACGGCUGCAGGUGAGGAGGCCUGUGAGAGUCGGAAGCCAGCUGCCACCCCAAAUGAUAAGCACACUGUAGCUGUCUCUGCAUGGCUUUGUUGCAUGAGGAGAGUCGCUACUGUCAAUGCAGGGCUGCUGGUCUCCACCUCGGAAUGUGGCAGCACACAAUCCAUCACUGCCCUGUGUUCGCAGGUCACAGAGAAAAGAAAUGCUUUCUCUAUUCCUUCUCGCAGUUAGUAUUUUGUGAUUAUAGAAAAACUGUGCGUAGUUCACCAUAUUUUCAGUUUGCUUCGAAUUAUUAAAGUGACUCAGGGAAAAAACUUUAAUCUGAAAAUAGUGGCCAACACGAGACAGGACGCCGAUUGCUGCGUGAGUAAGAGGAAGCACCGCAGACCACCGCCGACGAAAUUCUGGAUUUUUUGAGGAGGGAUUUCCUGAAGCGGGUGUUGAAUAUGGGCAUGAAGCCACGAGGCUGAAUCUAGAUGUGUGUUUCACGUUUCUCACAAGAGCUGAUGUUGGUUUUUGAUUGCAAAAGAUGCCCAUUGCAGAAAAACAAAAACAUAUGUGUCAUGAGGAGCCUCAGAAACCUCCCCAAGCCCUCCACACAGAAGUGAUUGUGAGUGCCGCUCCAGACCUCACCCUAUGGGAUCUAUAGGACCUGUAGACCUAUAGCUGCCUGUAUGAUCCUGUGGGGACAAUCUCCUAAUGUAGGUGGGGCUCGGUGUUUGCUGGAUGAGAGCGUGUUCUGUCGGCAGGUGGCAUCCAGUUCUACGGGGUCCUCUGUGGAUGCUAGGGUGCCCGGGAACCAGCAGUUCCACGUUGCAUUUUCCUGGAAGUCCGAGCAGAGCACCCGGGUCAGGCGAGUUCCCAGAAGCUCCUUGCCUUCUCUUCCCUGCAUAAGGAAGGCUGGGGAGGGCGGCUCUGGAUCCUGAGGGGAAGCCACUUGGAUCUCCUGCAGCUGCUCAAGACCACGGUGCUGUGACUGCGCUUGCCCAUCUGGAAAGCCUCAGGCGUGCAGGAGCUUGGCUGGGCUCCACAUUUGGAGGCAGAACCUGCUCCAUCUGAGCUCGUGGCUCUUGGUCAGCCCAGGCUCAGGGAGCCUCUCGAUGGGGUGGAAUUUUGGGUUUCACCCACUUGGCUGAUGCUUCCUGCCCUGUGUAAUUGAAUCAAUCCUUUACGUAAAUGCUGUUUCGUAACUGCCCGGGCUUUUCAGGGCCUCUGGGCCCUGGCUGAAAACAUAACUCAGCUCCUGCCUGGGAGGCUUUGCGCGGCAGGCCUGGCUGGUGGGAGGGCUUGGUGCUAGAGGCAUCCAUCGGGUGAGGACCAGGACCUCCCACGGUGAACAUGGUGGCCAUGUCCCCGCAAACCCCAGCCUACUGAGCUGUCCAAUGAACCCUUGUGCACUUGAGCUAAAACACGCAGCCGUGCCCCCAGGAGGCCGCUUAACGCAGAGCAAUAGCCGGGUCCUCGACCAUCCAGCUGCAGAGACAUCACCAAUCCCAGUCUCCCUGGUUCCCGCGUCAGCCUCGCCCUGCCCUGGGCCACGGCUGCACAGCAUGUGCCUCCUCACCAACACCACGCGUCACACUCUGCAAGCCCCCAGCCCCUCCAUGCGUGAAAGGGGGCUGCUCCUCAGGGUUCUUUGGGCUGUAAGGGUCCCACCGUCCCCCAGUUUUUGUUGGACAUCUGUGAAGCCCAGCCUUUCCAAGCAGACGCAGUCCCUCCGCUCCAGCCAGUUCCUCCAGAUGAGGCCAAUGUGUUCCCAAGCAUGUCGGGUCACAUUUCAUGUGUGUUUUGGUCCUGAAAGCAGGACUCUCAUGAAAAUGGCAGAAAGGUCGUCAAACAGCUCCUCUCUUCACCGCGGCCGUCACAGAUGGAGCUGGAGGCACACGCAUGUGUAUGGCACAAAUGGCCACAUUUGGUUCUGAGAAGCCAUCUCGGAAACUCAAGGGCUGAGGAAGCCAGGCCCUGGCGUUAGAUUUGAUGCAUGAGCGAGAGGCUCAGCAAAGCAGAGGAUGAGUCCCGAGGCCUCGUUUCCUCCAGAAAACCCAUCCCUCCUGCCUAUACCCUCCAGGCUGCUGAACACACCUGCCCAUGACCGCCUGCCCGGCACUGCCUCGCCGCCCCUCCUCAAGUCUCUCCUUCCUGAGACAUAAUUUCUGCUGUAGCACAGGGUGGUCCACGGGGCCCUGCUGGAGUCUAUGUCCGGGAGGGAGCAGACCUCAUGUCCGUUUCCCACACACCCUGCAAGCACCCAUCAAGGCAUCCAGCUGUACCCUGGUACCAAAUAAAUGCUCGACUCCUUCAGAAUCCAUGUCCACCAAUCACAGCCUCAAGCUGCAUCUCAACCAUCACAGGAGGCAGUGACCCCCAGGCGGGACCAGAGGCCGUCUCCCAGGAACAUGGUCAGCAGAAGACACUGCCUCCAAACUUCAAAUUCAGGCCCAACACAGGAACACACAGCAGAGGUGCAGCUGAACUGCAUGGAUGGUGCGACCAUGGCCACGCUCCCAGAGCAACACACGGACCCACCAGGGAGACAGGAGCAGGUACUAGGAGCUCAGAGGGCAGUGCUACGGCCACAGAGGGUGUCACCAAGAAUUAGCAGUGAGAGACCACCACUCUGUAGGCCAAGCCUGCGCUGAUGCAGGCCCCACUGAGGCUUCUGCUCGGCCUUGGGCACCGUGAGGCCCUUUCACUGGGUUGAUGGGAGCACUGACCAUUCCAGCCCUGCCUGGGUCCCCACUGGCUCUGCUGACUUGCACCCAGCCUGGGGACCCACCUCGGACCCCUGGACCCGCCCCUGGAGCUCGCCAUUCUUGACAAUGAAAAUUUAGCCUCUGUCCUCUCCGAACUGUGACCUCUGUCCCCCAAAUGGGUCGAACCCCUUCCUGCACUGUGACCUCCGGGCGGGAAGUCAACGGCUUGUCCCCUCCUGGCUGGAACCCCCCCGAGGGCCCCUGCCCUGUGCUGCCUGCUGCCCAGAAGCUGCGUGGAUUCCGGUCCUGAGUUGUUUAAAGCAGGGGCGCAAAGCCAGCCCUCAUCACCCCAUCAUGGCUAGAAGAGGGAAUGUUUAAACAGACGAUUUUUCAUCAAGAAUGUGGGUAAAAUAGUUUGGUCUUUUGUAUUUCAUAGUGUUAGAAAACCAACUUGACUUUAACAAAAAUAAUUAGCUUGGCAAUUAUCACC
rnacentral:lncRNA from 1 species